rnacentral:rRNA from 1 species
AUACGGAGGAUCCGAGCGUUAUCCGGAUUUAUUGGGUUUAAAGGGUGCGCAGGCGGCCAUUUAAGUCAGCGGUUAAAUCGUGGGGCUCAACCCCAUUCUGCCGUUGAUACUGGGUGGCUUGAUUGCGGUCGAGGUUGGCGGAAUUCGUUGUGUAGCGGUGAAAUGCAUAGAUAUGACGAAGAACACCGAUUGCGUAGGCAGCUGACCAGACCGCAAAUGACGCUCAUGCACGAAGGUGCGGGUAUCAAACAGGAUUAGAUACCCUGGUAGUCCGCACAGUAAACGAUGGACACCCGCGGUUUGGCCUGUAUGGCUGAGCCGCCAAGCGAAAGCGUUAAGUGUCCCACCUGGGGAGUACGCCGGCAACGGUGAAACUUAAAGGAAUUGGCGGGG